rnacentral:rRNA from 1 species
CACCGGCGGACGGCUCAGUAACACGUCGGUAACCUACCCUCGGGAGGGGGAUAACCCCGGGAAACUGGGGCUAAUUCCCCAUAGGCCUGAGGUACUGGAAGGUCCUCAGGCCGAAAGGGACUUAUGUCCGCCCGAGGAUGGGCCGGCGGCCGAUUAGGUAGUUGGUGGGGUAAUGGCCCACCAAGCCGAAGAUCGGUACGGGCUGUGAGAGCAGGAGCCCGGAGAUGGACACUGAGACACGGGUCCAGGCCCUACGGGGCGCAGCAGGCGCGAAACCUCCGCAAUGCGGGAAACCGCGACGGGGGGACCCCGAGUGCCGUGGCAACGCCACGGCUUUUCCGGAGUGUAAAAAGCUCCGGGAAUAAGGGCUGGGCAAGGCCGGUGGCAGCCGCCGCGGUAAUACCGGCGGCCCGAGUGGUGGCCGCUAUUAUUGGGCCUAAAGCGUCCGUAGCCGGGCCCGUAAGUCCCUGGCGAAAUCCCACGGCUCAACCGUGGGGCUUGCUGGGAUACUGCGGGUCUUGGGACCGGGAGAGGCGGGGGGUACCCCUGGGGUAGGGGUGAAAUCCUAUAAUCCCAGGGGGACCGCCAGUGGCGAACGCG